GGGACACAUAUGGUGUAAAUAGUUCAAAAGAUAUUUGGAUGUCUUCAUGACAGAGGCUUUUCUUACACUUCAGGCUUAAUGUUGCAUUUUAUUUUUCCACAGCUUUGCACAUUUUUUUGGGGGGGGAGGUGGAAUGUCAUUUUCUUUACACCAGAAAUUAACUAUUUUUUUCUCUUUUCAUGGGGAGAAUUUCUUUUGUAUGGAAUUCUUCUGGCUUGCAGAAAUCUGUACAUUUGUAAACAGCAAUAUGCAUAUUUUCAAGUUCCAUCACACAAGAGAGAACUUGUCUCUUCUACUGAUUUGAAUGGAAUUGAACUUUAAAAGAACAGGUUCAUGUUCAGUUUAGAAAUCUCAUCACAGAAUGAAAUGAGAGUCCUGCUCAUCUCACCAAAUGUUUGCUGAAGAGGCUCCACUGGGGAAGGAAAGGGAAAGAGAAAGUACAUUGGAUCUCACUCAGGGGCUGUAAAGAAGAUGCACUUAUAGGUCUGCUGAGGCCUUUAUUCCAUGCUGUCCUCAUACUCAGAUCCACUCUCACUGGAGGUGGCUCCCACCUGGCUUCUGCAGAUAAAUGAAGCUCCACAGCAAAGCAAGAAGGUUUUAGGUUGUAUUUGAUGUGAUUGGGACUUAAGAAGAAAAGCUUUCCCAAGAGAGUUAUUGGCAUGAUUUUCUGAGAACAAGAGGAAAAUGGAAAACAUUUUAGCAAGUUAAGGGAAAAAAAAUCAACAGUAUCAUUGUUUGCCGCUUUUGUUGAAACUACCUGCACAAGUCAUUUGAGGGACGUGAAGGUGCAUGAGCCAUCUGCCUCCAAUGAACCCUGGACCACAUGGAAAGAGAGAAGGGAAAGAGAUUUGCUACUGAGGGUUGUGAAGAGUGACAGGGGAUAAGGGAGCUAUGAACUCAGCUGCACCCUGAGGGGACAGAGAGCCUGAAGGAGAAAAGGAUGGAGGAAUGGAGAAGAAAUAAGGAGGAACAUCAACAAGAAGCCUUUGAGAGGGAACUGACACUGAUUGUAGCCACUCCAACAGCUAUCAAAGUGCUUG